CAUUAAAGAGUUCUAUAACUCCCAAACCCAUGUGAACAUACCUAACGUUGCCUCGGCAGGUCGCACCUACCUUGUAGCACCCUACCCUGUAGGGCCUACCCGGGAGGUGCGGGUAAGCCUGCCGGCGGCCCACCAAACUCUGUUUGAUAUUGAAUUCUGAACCUAUAACUAAAUAAGUUAAAACUUUCAACAACGGAUCUCUUGGUUCUGGCAUCGAUGAAGAACGCAGCGAAAUGCGAUAAGUAAUGUGAAUUGCAGAAUUCAGUGAAUCAUCGAAUCUUUGAACGCAUAUUGCGCCCAUUAGUAUUCUAGUGGGCAGGACCGUUCGAGCGUCAUUUCAACCCUUAAGCCUUCGUUGCUUAGUGUUGGGAGCCUACGGCAACGUAGCUCCUCAAAGUUAGUGGCGGAGUUGGUUCACACUCUAGACGUAGUAAUUUUUUAUCUCGCCUAUUAGUUGGACUAAUCCCCUGCCGUAAAACCCCCAAUUUAUCAAGGUUGACCUCGAAUCGGUUCAGACAAACUCGCUAAAUUGAAGCAUCUUAGUCAGCGAAGGAAAAGAAACCAACAGGGAUUGCCCUAGUAACGGCGAGUGAAGCGGCAACAGCUCAAAUUUGAAAUCUGGCCCUCGGGUCCGAGUUGUAAU
rnacentral:rRNA from 1 species